rnacentral:rRNA from 1 species
AUUGAACGCUGGCGGAAUGCUUUACACAUGCAAGUCGAACGGUAGAGGGGGGCAACCCCUUGAGAGUGGCGAACGGGUGAGUAAUGUAUCGGAACGUGCCCAGUCGUGGGGGAUAACGUAGCGAAAGUUACGCUAAUACCGCAUACGAUCUAAGGAUGAAAGCGGGGGAUCGCAAGACCUCGCGCGAUUGGAGCGGCCGAUAUCAGAUUAGGUAGUUGGUGAGGUAAAGGCUCACCAAGCCAACGAUCUGUAGCUGGUCUGAGAGGGCGACCAGCCACACUGGAACUGAGACACGGUCCAGACUCCUACGGGAGGCAGCAGUGGGGAAUUUUGGACAAUGGACGCAAGUCUGAUCCAGCCAUUCCGCGUGCAGGAUGAAGGCCCUCGGGUUGUAAACUGCUUUUGUACGGAACGAAAAGGUUUCUCUUAAUACGAGGAGCUCAUGACGGUACCGUAAGAAUAAGCACCGGCUAACUACGUG